rnacentral:rRNA from 1 species
CGGACGGGGUGAGUAAUGUCUGGGAAACUGCCUGAUGGAGGGGGAUAACUACUGGAAACGGUAGCUAAUACCGCAUAACGUCGCAAGACCAAAGAGGGGGACCUUUGGGCCUCUUGCCAUCGGAUGUGCCCAGAUGGGAUUAGCUUGUUGGUGGGGUAACGGCUCACCAAGGCGACGAUCCCUAGCUGGUCUGAGAGGAUGACCAGCCACACUGGAACUGAGACACGGUCCAG